rnacentral:rRNA from 1 species
ACGGAAGGCAGCAGUGGGGAAUAUUGCACAAUGGGCGCAAGCCUGAUGCAGCAACGCCGCGUGAGGGAAGACGGUCUUCGGAUUGUAAACCUUUGUCUUUGGUGAAGAAGAAAGUGACGGUAGCCAAGGAGGAAGCCACGGCUAACUACGUGCCAGCAGCCGCGGUAAUACGUAGGUGGCAAGCGUUAUCCGGAUUUACUGGGUGUAAAGGGAGCGUAGACGGUUUGGCAAGUCUGAAGUGAAAUGCGGGGGCUCAACUCCUGAACUGCUUUGGAAACUGUCGAACUAGAGUGCAGGAGAGGUAAGUGGAAUUCCUAGUGUAGCGGUGAAAUGCGUAGAUAUUAGGAGGAACACCAGUGGCGAAGGCGGCUUACUGGACGAUAACUGACGUUGAGGCUCGAAAGCGUGGGGAGCAAACAGGAUUAGAUACCCUGGUA